AUUGUCCUCUAUGACCACCUGAGCAAAGGCUGGGAAGGGGUGGGAUUAGAUGGCUCAUUGCUAGCUGCUUAUGGCCAUGGGAGUGCCAUGCCAAGGUAAGGGGCCUGGAGUUCUAGGUUGGGCUCAGGAGACCUAGAUGUCCAUCCCACAGCUGCCAUGGCUGGCCAGCACCACUUCCCUCCAGAUCUCCCUACCAUUAGUGAGGGGACUGGGCACAGUUACCUACUGUCCACAGCACCCUUCCCCAAACCUGUGCUGAAAACCACUGCUCUGCACUGUGGGUCUGAGUUCUUGCCUGGGCUCCACUGGGCAGUUCUGGUGGGUCACUCAUGCAGCUGGUGACUCAGCUGGGCCCAGGUGGUACCAGACAGCCGCCUUUGAGUCUAGAGGUGAGCUGCUGAGCUUCCUGCAGCACCAUGCUGUGUUCUGUGGAAGGACUCAAAGACUGAUGGGAGGGUGUCCAAAUGACCUGGCAGCUAUUCCAAGAAGCUCCCAGUGGCUAAGCGUGUGACUGUUUUAAGUAUUAGAGGAAUGAUUGUGACUGCAUCAUAUCAAAUAAUUAAAAACCCAUGAGUUCAUAGAGGUAUUGAACAAGCAGGGAGAAAAUCAAUUCCAGAAUGGUCUGCAGCAACAAAGAAAAUACUGGCCAGGUGUGGUGAUCAUCCCAGAGGCUCAGGAGGCUGAGGCAGGAGGAUUGUGAGGUCAAGGUCAGCCUCAACAACUUAGUGAGGCCCCAUAAGCAAUUCAGCAAGAUCCUGUCUCAUAAUAAAAUGUAAACAUCCCUGGGCUCAAUCCCUGGUACCAAAAAUUAAAAUACUGAUCCAUGCUAUAGAGCAAGUAAAGCUCAAAGUAUUCUAGCCAAAAAAGGUAGAAACCAAAGAUCACAUAAUGUGUGAUUCCAUUUAUAGAAAAGGCAAGUAUAGAAUAGAGGUUGGUGGUGGCCUGGGGGACAUUCUGCAAACAAGCACAAGGGGUCUUUUCAACGUGAUGGCAAUGUGCUGACGUUGUGUGUGGUAGUGGAUACACACCUAUUUUUAGUAAAGUACCAACAAUCAUUACAGCAAGUACAUUUUAUCGUUUGCAAAUUACACCUUUACAAAAUUGUUUAAAACAAACCAAGAAACACACUAGAGAAUCACUAAUAGUUUAGGUGUGACUUUGGUGUGCGGGUCUUGCUGGAGAAGAAUUACCUUAUGAACUACCUGCUUCAAGUAUUCAUGGGUGAAGUUCACAUCUGAAAACUAAAAAUAUUUUGGAAAAGAAGCUAGCUGUGGUGGUGCACACCUGGAAUCCCUCUUACUCAGGAGGCUGAGGCAGGAGGACCUCAAGUUGAAGGCCAACCUGGGCAAGUGAGCGAGAUCCUAUCUGAAAAUAAAAUAGGAAAGGCUAGGGAGGGAGCUCAGGGAUACAGUGCUUGCCUAGCAUGUGAGAGAUUCUGGGUUCAAUCCCAAGGACCACACCCACACAGCAAGGAAUUGGAAAAUACAUACAGGAAAUACUAUAGCUAAGUACUAAAUACUAAUAUUAGUUUUAGGGGUGUUCUUUAUAGGCUUUGUUUUGUUUUGCAGGGUCAGGAAUUGAACCCAGGGCUUUGUGCAUGCUAAGCAGGUGUUCCACUACUGAGCUACAACCCGACAUUGUGUGUGUGUGUGGUUGUAGAUGAAAACAGUACCUUUGUUUUAUUUAUAAGUGGUGCCAAGGAUUGAACCCAGUGCCUCACACAUGCUAGGCAAGCAUUGUACCACUGAGCCACAAUAGCAGCUUUAACCCCAGACUUCAAAGGUUCCCCCCAAAACUUUUCUGUAACAUUUGAAUUCUUGUUUUUUUAAAAACUGGAGAUCAAAUCCAGGGCUUCUUGCAUGCUAGGCAAGCACUCUAUCACAGAGCUAUGUUCCCAGCACCACCACACCCUGCCACUUUUUAAUUUUGGUAGUUGCUUAGGUCUUGCUCAAUUGCUGAGCCUACUUGCCAUCCCCCUGCCUCAGCCUCCUGAGUGCUGGGAUUAUAGGCAUGUGCUAUGCUACCACUGCUGGCACCCAGCCCACUUUUUAAUUUCAAGGCAAGACCUUGUUAAGUUGCCCAAGUUGGCCUUGAAUUUUGUUCCUCCUACCUCAGCCUCCCACGUUGCUGAGACUUAACAGCUUGUGAUUUUCAGAUGUCCAUGAAGUAGCUGAAGACAUGGCAGGCUGGAUCUGCACCGCCCCCCCCUGCCCCCGCGAGUCUCCCUGCCCCUGCCGGGCUCUCCUAGUGCAGUCAGAGAAACUGAGCCUGGAAGCCUGUGGGCCCCCUGCCCAGUGCCUACAGCUUGCAGACCUGGAAACUAAGGCCCGGAAGUGGCCUUCCUGCCAUAGCGCUGAGGCGAGUGCACGCCCAAGGCGCCCGCCUCCCGCCUGCCUGUGAGCGCAGCACUGCCCAGGACCAGUAGUCCUGUUCAGCGAGGGGUUUCUCCCGCUCUUUGUCCCCUGCUUUGGCCAAGAAGCAAAGAGCCACCCCAUCCCCAUGUCAGUGCAGGAGGAGAUGGUGUCCGUCAUUUAUUGGACUCGCGGUCAACGCACAGGCUCCACCACACGCUGCACCAUACAGAAGCUGGAAGCAGGCCAAGUGCACGGCGUGUAAACAAAGAUCAGGUGAGAACGCCACUUCCAGUGACCGGGGCAGCGAGCGCCCAGGCGUACAUUCACAGCGCAGGGUAAGUGCAAAAGAGGGAAUGUGAGGAUGGAGGGCCAGGAGGGGGUCAGGCCAGAGCCACACUAGUGCCCAUGGGUCCUCCAGUCUGGGGACCAGGUUCAGAGAGGACAGGCAUGCCCAGCAUCACCCUUCACCCGUCCCCCCUUCUGGGUGUGCCCUCCCCACCCAGCAGCUCUUCCCAUUCCAGGGAUAGGGACCUGGUCCCAGGGCCAGUGCUCUGGCUCCAGCCUGGGAAGCCAGGAGUCUGUUUCUCUAAAGGUCUCAGAACCUGGAAGGGGCAGAAACUCCAAAUAAACUGUUAAGGCAAUAAAUAAAAUUUUCCAGCUCAGGCAAAACACUGGCAGAGCCGCAAGUCUGAAGGGCUGGCAGAGCCCUGGCAGCUGCUGGGACAGAUGCUAGCAGGAUCCCCACAGGAGCAGCGGGUGGUGCCUGCCCUGAGGCGGGCUCCACUUCCUUAGUCAGCUCCUGGAGCGUCUGUGCGUCGUGUUGAAGCGCUGGGGAUGGAACCCAGGGCCUUGCAAACACCAUACCCCUGAGCUGCAGCCCAGCCUUCUGUCAACCUCUGGAUGACCCAGACCUUUGCCACUAGGUGCUGUCCCCCACCCCUGUGCACACUUGCAAACUCUUGCAGGAGGCAGGCAGGGUGGGGCCUUCUGGACUGACCAGAGGACACCUGGGUCCUGAGACCGGCCACACAGGUGCAGGGUGCUGUAGCUCAGGACUCCGUGAUGCUCACCACGAGGCCGUGCCGCUCCCACCUCUACCUCCCCCCUCAGAGCCCACCUGUGGACAGCCCUAGCGUAGUCAGAGCUUCUGGGGCCCCACACUCAUAGGACUUUGGCUUUUCCUGUCCCAGGUCUCCACGAUGCCACCCUCUCCCAGGGACCCUUCCUCAGAGACAGCUGAGGGCAGUCAGGUGGGCCUCUCCAUGCCUCCAGCCCUGUCCAGGGAAACUUGCUCUCUGAGCUUUGGGGAUUCCCAGAUGAGGGGGGUGGGGCAAGCUCAGAGGCAACUGCCCUGGCCACCCUGGCCCUUGAGUGCCAACCCAAAAGGAGGGAGGGUCACCUUCUCUCCCAUCUGCAUGAGCGAGGCCAGCCAGCCACCUCCCCUCCAGCCUAUGCCUGCCACUACUGCGGCUCUGCCAGGGGCCGGUUCUCUCGGGGCAGUGCCCCAUUCAGGCCAAUGCUGCUGGUCAUUGGUGUCCCCAGGUAUCCCAGAAGGAUCUCGCUGCGGCGCCGGGACAGUUGCAGGAUGUCAUCCGCCAGCGCUGGCACCGAUGUGUAGCGCACAUUGUCCAGGUCAAACAUGUCCCUCAGGUACUGCACAAUCUGGUGCUGGGGGCACAGGGCUGGUGUUGGGCCUGGGCCCUUCAACGAUGUCCUCGAAACCCAUUAGGUCCCCUUCCCGAUCACCAGGGCUCCAACCCACCCUCUCCCACCCUUGGGCUACUCUCCUGUUGCUGCCCCUGGCCCUUCCUCUGGGAGCAGGUCCAGGCCCUCUCUGCACUGCUGGCCCCUCCAGGGCUCCUGUGCCAGGGGCAUGGAAAGAGGGGUGCUGCUGUGUACCUUGAAGAAAGCACAGACUUCAGCGAGCUGGGGCUUGGGUCCAAGGAAGCCAAAGGCCAGGACGGGACUAACGUGCUCCGAUACGGAGUAGAAAUGGGAGAUGAAGCCAUCGGGCACCUGUCAGGGCGACAGUUAAGGAAGCGCACUGUGGUCAGGGAGGGUGAGCGCCCCCAGGUCCUGGGGGGCAUCUGAGGGUGGUUACAUGGUGGCUAGGUGGCCCUGGGCAAGCAAUGGGUACUUCACAGCCAUUCCUCACUGGGACAGGAGACUGCUGUGGGAACUGCAUGAGGCGGGGCUCCGGAGGCCCCAGCAAGGAAGUGCCCAGAGCACUGGCAGUGGCAGCUGGUACCAGCUGGGCAGCAGAGCCCAGAGGGCAAAGUGAGCAUGGACGGCAGCUAAGAGAAUGCAGCCGGCUGUCACCAGCGUGCUGCGUGGGAGGAGGGGCUCUGCCUGCUCCCUGGGCAUUCUGCCUUGACCCGCCAGCCCACCCUGUGCACAGCCCUCCCAGGAUGUCCCUUCCCCUAUGGCGAGUCCCUGGACACUUCCUAAUGGCUACUCUGUGCUGGGCCCUGGGGGGUGAGACAAAAAGGACCAAAAUGACCAUGGGGAGCUCCAGGCCAACGGAGGGGUGAGGGCAGGAAAGGUGGCCAGUGCAGGAGAUGAGAAAGGCCAAAGGUGCAGCAGAGUCUGGGGACUCGGGAGACCUCCCUGCACCAGUGUUUCCCACCCAUCUCGCCUGAGAACCAGGUCUGGUACUAGGCUCCCUGGUGACUGUGUGGCCACUCACCAUCAGGAGCCUCCUCUUGGCUUUCAGGACCGACCAGCAAGCAGUGGCCAGGGCCUAGAGCAGAGAUGGACCCACCUCGGUGUCAGAAUAAGGCCAACCCCAGAGCCCCUACCCACCCUGCCUGGUUUCUAAUCCCUUAUCCCCAGCUCACCCCACCCCAGGGAGGAAGAUGGGGCUCAGUCCUGAGCUCUAGAUUCUUUCCCCUAACUCAGGAAUUUAGCCUUGACUGCAAGGGGCCCUGAACUAGGUGCUGCUCUCCUUGAGCCUGGGUUUCCUCCCAUAGAAAAUGGCCAGGAUGAAGCCCCCAUCCCAUCUGGUGGUUGGGGGAAUCACAGUGACUGCUGAAGAGUCCCUGUGGUCCAGCAGACUCUCUCCUACUCUGUGCCUCAUUUCUUCUUGUUUUGGUUGUUUCCUCCUAUUUUCACUUAAUAGGAUGUAUCACUAUUGGGUGGAAGUAAUGCCAGCACCGAGUGAGCAGAGCUGGGGAUCCACGCUGCAGAAAGGCCGGGCUCGCUCCUGGUGCUGGACCCAGUGAAAGGCAGUUCUAGGGUGCCCAGGAAGAAACCGCAGGCCCAGAAACUGAUGGGCAGGUGCCCAGCCCUGGUGCCCGAAGCAGUGAUGGCAUGAGAAGGGGUCAGGUGAGUUCCAGGAUCUUGUGAUGUGAGGUUUGGGGUGGGACAGUGGCCCACCGUCUCCUUGAAGCUGUCUGACAGCCAACGGUUUCGCAAGACAGCAAGCACUGAGGAUGGGGGAUUCUCCAGAUCCUCGAAGGCAUCCAUGAGGAUGAAGUCAAGCACGAUGUCGAAGAAGCUCAUGCAAACCACCUGCGGGGAGUUCAGGGCUGGACUCAGAGCCACUGUGCACACAGCAAGGCUGAAGCCAGAAGGAGCCUGGAUGUGACAUGUGGAGGGUGUAUAUAUCUUUCCCUUGCCCUGCAACAGAGGCCACCUCCCUCAUGCCUGUGCCUGGGGCAGGGCAGGAACCAGGGCUCUGAGCAGUAAUGGUGUCAUCUCAGCUGCUUGGAAGAGAGGCAGAAGUUGGCAUACCCUUCCCCCACCCCCAAGGAUCUCAGGUACAGAGGAGCCCAGGAAGUUGAGCACAGACCAACUCACCCCACGGCCCUCCAGCUCCAGCCGAGUGGUGGCCCAGGUCUCAGGCCGCAGAGCAUAGCUCAGCAUCUCCUCAUAGCUCUCCAGGAAGCCUUUGGGGCUCUGUAGGGAGAAGCACAGCCUGUUUUGGUUGUGGGAGAGGCCCCAAGCCCCAGCUGGAUGAGAUCCACAGGGACAGGCUGGCCUGUGGAUGGGGACAUGCCAAGGCAGGGAUGGGGCCUUGACCUAGGGAAGACCAGGUGAGGAAGCAUCUACUGCCUGCUGCAGUGGGCCUCUCCAGAGAACCAGGGAGCACCUGCUGCCUUCCAGAUGUGCACAGGCACAGCACAACCUGACUCAAGGGAGGCACGAGAACCUGAGCUUUAGUCAGGUGGUGUAUGAUCCAAAUUUUGACCUUGGGCCUCAGAGGUGAGACGAGAAGCUACAGCCCACAUUCAUAAGGCUGUUCUGGGGGAACUGGUGAACUCCUGCCUCUAAGACAAUCAAUCCAGUGCCUGACACCUAAGUGUUCAAUACAGAGUCUAAGACUAAUGCAGGGCUGGGGCAUGACUCAGUGGCAGAGUGCUUGCCUAGUGUGUGCAUGGCCCUGGAUUCCAUCCCCAGCACAGCAAAAUCAAUCAAUCAAUCAAAAAGACUGCUAAUGUUGGGGCUGAGAUUGUGGCUCAGGGGCAGAGCGCUCGCCUAACAUGUGUGAGGCGCUGGGUUCAAUCCUCAGCACCAUAUAAGAUAAAUAAAUAAAAUAAAAGUAUUGUGUCCAACUACAACUGAAAAAAUAUUAAAAAAAAAAAAAAAAAAAAGACUGCUAACGCUACUAAGAACGAAGACCCUCAGCUCUACCGUGCACCUUCACUCUGAGACCCUGUGGUUCAGUCAGCCUCUCGAUGCAGUUUGCUGACGUGGGUCUGCGCAGAGACAGGAAGUACCAGGGUCUGCUCUAAGCAUGGCUGACUCCCCAUCAGGAGUUAUGCCCACUUUAGGUGAUGCUCUAAAGAGCCAGGCAGGAUAACAGGUUGAUGACAUUUAUAAAGACCAUGGGCAAAAGGGGACAACAGGUGGAUAUUCAUCAAACUGUGAACAGGGUAGAAUCAGAGACAGUUUUUACUUUGUUCUUUUUGGUUUCUUUUGUGCCCCCCCCCCCAUUGAACCCAGGAGCACUUUACCACUGAGCCACGCCCCCAGAUCCCCAGCCCAUUUUUAAGUUUUGAGAUAGGGAAUUGCUUAGGGCCUUACUAAGUUGCUGAAGCUGGCUUUGAACUUGCAAUCUUUCUGUCUCAGCCUCCUAGGCCACUGGGAUUACAGGCAUGCGCCAUGGCACCUGGCUUUUUUUUUUUUUUUUUCCCCUUAGUUUUUCCUACAAAGAGCAUCCACCCAUCAACUUUUUAACCAUUUAUUUAUUUAUUGGUACUGAGGACUGAACCCAGGAGUGCUCAACCACUGAGCUACAUCACCAGCCCUUUUUUAUAUUUUAUUUAGAGGCGGAUCUUAGAGACAGGGCUGAGUUGCUUAGGGCCUCACUAAGUUGCUGAGGUUGGCUUUGAACUCAUGAUCCUCCUGCCUCAGGCUCCUGAGUUGCUGGGAUUACAGGUGUGCACCACUGUGCCUGGCUAUCAUCACUUUUAAUUUUUUUUAUCCUUAAUUAACUUUAUAUAUACACACACACACACAUACAUAUACACGAUAUUAUAUAGAUAGAUACAUAUAUAUAUGUGUGUGUGUAUAUAUAUGUUAAUUAUAUAUUAAGCAAGUCACAUGCUCAGUAAGUGCUCUACCACUGAGCUACAUCCCCAGCCCUACAAUUUACAAUUUUAUUUCUUUAUUUACUUACUUAUUAUCAUUUUACUUAUUAUUAUUAUCACUGUGGCCUAGGCUGGUCUCGAGCACCUGGGCUCAUCAGGCAUGCACCAUACCACCCCACUGUUUUUAUUAAGUUUGAAAGAGAAUUUUAGAGAUGGCCCUGGGCUGUCCGGGCACCCCCAGAGCCUUAUGUCCUUACCUACAAAUGACCAAUGACCCUCAAUAUCAAUGUCAAGGAGGAAGGUAACUGACCCUUGACACUUCUAAGCCAGCUGAGCAGGUCUGACAUGGGGCAUGCCCGCUCACACACAGGGACCCACUCACAUACAAUGACCCGGAGGUUUCUGGGACUGGCCCAUUGACACACGGUGAGGAAGAAGCCUGAUGCUGUAACUCCAGGGCCUGGCCACGCCCCAUAGGGCCAGUAUCUUCUCAGAUGGCCUGGCCCUGGCCACCUGUCUGGGGGCCCUGAUGGGGCCACGUUGGCUCCUGCUGUAGUCACACAGCUCAGCACAGGCUGUGGCGCUCGGGAGCUGCCAGACAGCCUCUUGCACUUCUUAAUGACAACAAAGCCCAAGUCCUGCCCGGGGCAGAGGCUGGACGGAGGCAUGCCCCAGAGGGGCUGGUCUGCCCCGCUCCUGGCACCUGCUCAGCCUUUGUUCACUCAUUCACUUGUCCUCCUGGGGAUGCCACAAAGAGCAGGCCACAGGCACAGGAUAGACCAGGCCCACCUGGGUGCAAAGCCCCGCUGCACGCCUAACCUGCUCAGAGUCCAGACCGUCCCCUCUGCCACACAGGAGCUGCAGUAGGCUCCAAGAAGCAAUUGCGAGUAAAGAAAUGCAAGUAAAGCGCUCACUGCUAGGUAAGUGGUAGGUGCUGGAGGUGGCCACCCAGCCAACAUGAAUGUUCAAGGAGCACUUGCCCUGAACCUCGUGGGCUUCACUGAGACGGGAGGAGGACAGGGCUUGAGCAGGAUGCAGGGCACUGAAGCCACCACAGCCAGAGUGAACCCUCAUCUUUUUAUUCAUUAAGUCCUACACAUACUUUUUCACAUGCUUCUAUGUAUAUUUCACAUAAAAUUGCUGAAGUAAAAAAGAAUUGGCUGGAUAAUGUGGUUCUAGCUCCUAGAAAUAAACAGAUGAAAAAUUAACAUUCAAAUGUAAAGACCCAGCUGUCAAUAAAAACAAUCUUAUGCAGUAGAAAAAAGAAGAAAAAAGAAUUAAGGAACAGUGUGCUAGGCACACAGGGACCAGCGCAGGGGAAGGCCCAGAUCAGGCAGAGGGCCUGCUGUGCACUGGAAGCCCUGGGACCUUCGCUCUGGCCAGGGUGAGGCCACCACAGAACAGAGCUCAGGCUGCACAUGGCAGGCAGCAGGAAUGAAGGGUGUUCAGAAAUGGAGAAUGAGGGCACAUAUGGACUUCAGAAUCGCUUCUCCAGCAUGUGGGCAGAGCACUCGGGAAAAGGCCUGUUCCAAAACUUUGCUCCAAUUCGUUAAAGAAACAACAAAAAACCCACAAGUGGCCAAUAAACACGAGAAAUUAUGCAACCUCACCCAUAACCAAAGAGCCAUAAAGCAAUGGAUAAAAUACAAAGAAUAGAAAGAUUACUAAUAUCUCAUGGGAAUAUAAGUGUCCAGGCCUUGCCGAGGGCAAACUGGCAAGCUCUGCCGGCCUUCAAAACUUCCUGCCAAGACCAUGGACAGAGACUUCAUGAUACCACAGGGACCUGAGUGAGGAGAACUAAAGUAGCGCUGUCCGUGAUGUGGACUGCUGUACAGUCAGUAACUGUCACCCCAGGGCCUGAGGUGCCUCCAUGGGUGAGCUAAGCCCUUAGAUCACACAGCAAAGCUGCAGGCGGUUGGGAGGGUCCUAAGGCUGGGAAACCAGACAGCAGUGUCCAGGGGUGAACAACCUCCACAGAAGCCGGCAGAAGGGGCACGUUCCCAACCAUAGACAGGCUCACAUUUCCCUUGGGCAGCAGGGGUCCACUUGGGCAGAGAGGGUGCGGGGAACCUUUUACAGUUUGUGUUUUAUAAUUGGUAAGUUUUGUAAAACUGUACUAUGUUGGAAUCUGAAAUAAAAAGCAAUACAGA